CAGCAGCCGCCACGGUAAUACAGAGGGUGCGAGCGUUAAUCGGAUUUACUGGGCGUAAAGCGUGCGUAGGCGGCUUCUUAAGUCGGAUGUGAAAUCCCUGAGCUUAACUUAGGAAUUGCAUUCGAUACUGGGAAGCUAGAGUAUGGGAGAGGAUGGUAGAAUUCCAGGUGUAGCGGUGAAAUGCGUAGAGAUCUGGAGGAAUACCGAUGGCGAAGGCAGCCAUCUGGCCUAAUACUGACGCUGAGGUACGAAAGCAUGGGGAGCAAACAGGAUUAGAUACCCGAGUAGUCCCUGUCUCUUAUAC
rnacentral:rRNA from 1 species